GCGGAUAUGGCGGAAUUGGCAGACGCGAUAGACUUAGGAUCUAUUCCGGAAGGGUGCAGGUUCAAGUCCUGUUAUCCGCACCA
rnacentral:tRNA from 1 species